rnacentral:rRNA from 1 species
GAUGAACGCUGGCGGCGUGCCUAAUACAUGCAAGUCGAGCGAACGGACGAGAAGCUUGCUUCUCUGAUGUUAGCGGCGGACGGGUGAGUAACACGUGGAUAACCUACCUAUAAGACUGGGAUAACUUCGGGAAACCGGAGCUAAUACCGGAUGAUAUUUUGAACCGCAUGGUUCAAAAGUGAAAGACGGUCUUGCUGUCACUUAUAGAUGGAUCCGCGCUGCAUUAGCUAGUUGGUAAGGUAACGGCUUACCAAGGCAACGAUGCAUAGCCGACCUGAGAGGGAGAUCGGCCGCACUGGAACUGACACACGGUCCAGACUCCUACGGGAGGCGGCAGUAGGGAAUCUUCCGCAAUGGUCGAAAGCCUGAAGGAGCAAAGCCGCGUGAGUGAUGAAGGUCUUCGGAUCGUAAAACUCUGUUAUUAGGGAAGAACAUAUGUGUAAGUAACUGUGCACAGCUUGACGGUACCUAAUCAGAAAGCCACGGCUAACUACGUG